GAUGAACGCUGGCGGCGUGCCUAACACAUGCAAGUCGAGCGGCAGCGAGGGGUGCCUGCACCCUGUCGGCGAGCGGCGGACGGCUGAGUAACGCGUGGGAACGUGCCCCAAAGUGAGGAAUAACUGCCCGAAAGGGUAGCUAAUACCGCAUAUUAUCUUCGGAUCAAAGGAUUUAUCCGCUUUGGGAGCGGCUCGCGUCGGAUUAGGUAGUUGGUGAGGUAAUGGCUCACCAAGCCGACGAUCCGUAGCUGGUCUGAGAGGAUGACCAGCCAGACUGGAACUGAGACACGGUCCAGACUCCUACGGGAGGCAGCAGUGAGGAAUCUUCCACAAUGGGCGAAAGCCUGAUGGAGCAACGCCGCGUGCAGGACGAAGGCCUUCGGGUUGUAAACUGCUUUUAUAAGUGAGGAAUAUGACGGUAACUUAUGAUUAAGGAUCGGCUAACUACGUG
rnacentral:rRNA from 1 species